GACGAACGCUGGCGGCGUGCUUAAUACAUGCAAGUCGAGCGAUGAAGACUGGUGAUUGUGCCAAUUUGGAGGGCCGCGAACGGGAGGGUAACGCAUGUGGCCUCUGCCUUUGAGCGGGGGACGACAUUGGGAGACGAAUGCUCAUACGGCAUAACACCUUUAGACAUAAGCUUUCAGGGUGAAAGAUGCGAUUGCAUAACUCAAUGAUGAUCCAGCGUCUUAUUAGGGAGGUGGUGAGGAAAAGGCCCACCAAGGUGAUGAUACAUAGCCGGCCUGAGAGGAUGAUCAGCCGCAUUGGGAAGGGGACGCGGCCCAAACGCCUACCUGAGGCAGCAGCAGGGAAUCUUCGGGAAGCGACGGAAGUCUGACCGAGCAACGCCGCGUGAGUGUAGAAGGUCUUCGGCUCGUAAAACUCGGUUGGUAGAGAAGAGCGUUCGUGUGAGUGGAAAGCACAUCAAGUGACGGUAACUGGCCAGAAAGCGACGGCUAACUACGUG
rnacentral:rRNA from 1 species